rnacentral:misc_RNA from 1 species
UCUCCGUAGGUGAACCAGCGGAAGGAUCAUUAUCGAAUAACCGAGGUGCGAGGCCUUUCGCUCAUCCGAAAGUGUGUGCACGCCCGAGUGCCCCCCCACCCAUCCAUCUCACCCCUAUGUGCACCACCCCACGGGUCCCCCUUUGGCUUGUUCGGAGGGGGGCUUACGUAUUCACACAAACUAAGUAUGCAGUGUAGGAUGUAUUUUUUCUUUUUUCGAUCACGCACUCAACACAACGUUCAACAACGGAUCUCUUGCCCCUCGCAUCGAUGAAGAACC